UACGUAGGGUGCAAGCGUUAAUCGGAAUUACUGGGCGUAAAGCGUGCGCAGGCGGUUUUGUAAGUCGGAUGUGAAAUCCCCGGGCUCAACCUGGGAAUUGCAUUCGAUACUGGAUAGCUAGAGUUCGGCAGAGGGAAGUGGAAUUUCAGGUGUAGCGGUGAAAUGCGUAGAUAUCUGAAGGAACAUCAGUGGCGAAAGCGACUUCCUGGACCAGAACUGACGAUCAGGCACGAAAGCGUGGGGGAGCAAACAGG
rnacentral:rRNA from 1 species